UUAGUGGUUUUCUAGGGUUCCGCUAAGCGAGAUGCUUAGGUCUGGUCCGAGGGAAAACUCACAGCAAUAGCUGUGAUCACGGAAGGAUAAAAACCUGGGAGUC
rnacentral:sRNA from 2 species